GGAGUUAGCCGGUGCUUCUUCUGUGAGUGAUGUCCUUCCUGCCGGCUAUUAACCCGCAGGCCUUCUUCCUCACUGAAAGUGCUUUACAACCCGAAGGCCUUCUUCACACACGCGGCAUGGCUGGAUCAGGGUUGCCCCCCAUUGUCCAAUAUUCCCCACUGCUGCCUCCCGUAGGAGUCUGGGCCGUGUCUCAGUCCCAGUGUGGCUGAUCAUCCUCUCAGACCAGCUACGGAUCGUCGCCUUGGUGAGCCGUUACCUCACCAACCAGCUAAUCCGACAUAGUCUCAUCCGAUAGCGCGAGGCCCGAAGGUCCCCCGCUUUCCCCCGUAGGGCGUAUGCGGUAUUAGCCUGGGUUUCCCCAGGUUAUCCCCCACUACCGGGCAGAUUCCUAUGCAUUACUCACCCGUCCGCCGCUCGCCACCAGGGAGCAAGCUCCCCGUGCUGCCGCUCGACUUGCAUGUGUUAGGCCUGCCGCCAGCGUUCAAUCUGAGCCANAAUCAAACUCUGA
rnacentral:rRNA from 1 species